UACGUAGGGUCCGAGCGUUGUCCGGAAUUAUUGGGCGUAAAGAGCUCGUAGGCGGUUUGUCGCGUCUGCUGUGAAAUCUAGAGGCUCAACCUCUAGCGUGCAGUGGGUACGGGCAGACUGGAGUGGUGUAGGGGAGACUGGAAUUCCUGGUGUAGCGGUGGAAUGCGCAGAUAUCAGGAGGAACACCGAUGGCGAAGGCAGGUCUCUGGGCACUUACUGACGCUGAGGAGCGAAAGCGUGGGGAGCGAACAGGAUUAGAUACCCUGGUAGUCCACGCCGUAAACGUUGGGCGCUAGAUGUGGGGACCUUUCCACGGUUUCCGUGUCGUAGCUAACGCAUUAAGCGCCCCGCCUGGGGAGUACGGCCGCAAGGCUAAA
rnacentral:rRNA from 1 species